UACGUAGGGUGAAAGCGUUAAUCGGAAUUACUGGGCGUAAAGCGUGCGCAGGCGGUUUUGUAAGUCUGAUGUGAAAUCCCCGGGCUCAACCUGGGAAUUGCGAUGGAGACUGCAAGGCUUGAAUCUGGCAGAGGGGGGUAGAAUUCCACGUGUAGCAGUGAAAUGCGUAGAGAUGUGGAGGAACACCGAUGGCGAAGGCAGCCCCCUGGGUCAAGAUUGACGCUCAUGCACGAAAGCGUGGGGAGCAAACAGG
rnacentral:rRNA from 1 species